UAGUUGAGGCUCAAUAAAUGGUGUAUAGUGUGGUCCCCCAAGUCUUCGGUCAAUAGAGUCUCUUGGUUGGAGACUUCAAAUUGAAUCCAUGUAUGGGCCAAAGUGGCAGUUGUUCGGAGGCGGGAUUUGUAUACCCUGCACUGAAGCUUUGUAGGUGAAGCAUUGCAAGGGAAGCUUUGAAGUUGGAGCUCUGUAAAUGAAGCUUUUGAAGCUAGAGCUCUGUAAAUGAAGCUUUUGAAGCUAGUGCUUUUGUAAAUGAAGCUUUUGAAGCUAGAGCUCUGUAAAUGAAGCUUUUGAAGCUAGAGCUCUGUAAAUGAAGCUUUUAAAGCUAGAGCUCUGUAAAUGAAACUUUUGAAGCUAGAGCUUUGUAAAUGAAGCUUUUGAAGUUGAUUGACAUGAGUAAUGCUCAUGAAUGUUUAUGUUGAUUGACAUGAGUGAUGCUCAUGGAUGUUGUCAUGAGUGAUGCUCAUGAAUGUUGACAUGAGAGUGAUGCUCAUGAAUGUUUAUGUAUGAUUGAUUUGAGUGAUCCUCAUGAAUGUUUAUGUAAGAUUGAUAUGAGUGAUGCUCAUGAAUGUUUAUGUAUGAUUGACAUGAGUAAUGCUCAUGUAUAAUUUGAAGUACUGGGCGUACUUUUGAUCACUUG
rnacentral:lncRNA from 1 species